rnacentral:rRNA from 1 species
UACGUAGGGGGCUAGCGUUGUCCGGAUUUAUUGGGCGUAAAGAGCGUGUAGGCGGCCAGGUAGGUCUGGUGUGAAAACUCGAGGCUUAACCUCGAGAUGUCAUCGGAAACCAUUUGGCUAGAGUCCGGAAGAGGAGAGUGGAAUUCCUGGUGUAGCGGUGAAAUGCGCAGAUAUCAGGAAGAACACCAAUGGCGAAAGCAGCUCUCUGGGACGGUACUGACGCUGAGGCGCGAGAGCGUGGGAGCAAACAGG